GACGAACGCUGGCGGCGUGCCUAAUACAUGCAAGUAGAACGCACAGUUUAUGCCGUAGCUUGCUACACCAUAGACUGUGAGUUGCGAACGGGUGAGUAACGCGUAGGUAACCUGCCUGGUAGCGGGGGAUAACUAUUGGAAACGAUAGCUAAUACCGCAUAAUAUUAAUUAUUGCAUGAUAAUUGAUUGAAAGAUGCAACUGCAUCACUACCAGAUGGACCUGCGUUGUAUUAGCUAGUAGGUGAGGUAACGGCUCACCUAGGCGACGAUACAUAGCCGACCUGAGAGGGUGAUCGGCCACACUGGGACUGAGACACGGCCCAGACUCCUACGGGAGGCAGCAGUAGGGAAUCUUCGGCAAUGGACGAAAGUCUGACCGAGCAACGCCGCGUGAGUGAAGAAGGUUUUCGGAUCGUAAAGCUCGGUUGUAAGAGAAGAACGGGUGUGAGAGUGGAAAGUUCACACUGUGACGGUAUCUUACCAGAAAGGGACGGCUAACUACGUG
rnacentral:rRNA from 1 species